rnacentral:lncRNA from 1 species
AUGAAGCUCUCAUCUGCUGUGAAAGUUCUGGGAUCUCUCUGUCUGCUGCUCAUAGAUGGAUUUCCAGUUUCUGAAGAUGAAUCUCCAGAGAUAAUUGGACCAGGCUUUGUCCAAAUAAAAACUCAUCCAGGUGCACCACUGGUGCUUCACUGUGAUGCGUUUGCAAACUGUGAGGACGAUAUGACUCUUAUCUACUGGCUUGUCAAUGACACCUUCCCCGAAGAUGCCCCCAGCAGCGACAGGAUAACAGAAUCUAAUGAAUCUACUCUAGAGGAGGGUGCAAUCCUUCAGAGGAGUUUGCUGUUGAAGAACAUCACAUCCGAGGACCUCAAAUCCACCUUCACAUGUGUUGUGACAAAUGCUGUGGGAAUGGCCCAAAAACACAUUAAAUUAAUAGCAACAAGUGAAGACUGA